GAUGAACGCUGGCGGCGUGCUUAACACAUGCAAGUCGAACGGAAAGGCCCUUCGGGGUACUCGAGUGGCGAACGGGUGAGUAACACGUGGGUGAUCUGCCCUGCACUUUGGGAUAAGCCUGGGAAACUGGGUCUAAUACCGGAUAGGACCACGCGCUUCAUGGUGUGUGGUGGAAAGCUUUUGCGGUGUGGGAUGGGCCCGCGGCCUAUCAGCUUGUUGGUGGGGUAAUGGCCUACCAAGGCGACGACGGGUAGCCGGCCUGAGAGGGUGACCGGCCACACUGGGACUGAGAUACGGCCCAGACUCCUACGGGAGGCAGCAGUGGGGAAUAUUGCACAAUGGGCGCAAGCCUGAUGCAGCGACGCCGCGUGAGGGAUGACGGCCUUCGGGUUGUAAACCUCUUUCAAUAGGGACGAAGCGCAAGUGACGGUACCUAUAGAAGAAGGACCGGCCAACUACGUGC
rnacentral:rRNA from 1 species